UGAACAAGGAGGCCUCCUGCUGCAGGCCCACCAGCCCUGCCUCCUGGCCUGUAGACUGCUCGUGAGGGGGGCAAUUUAAUAAGAGAAAACUCGAUGCAUCUUGGGUUCAUUUAACCGUGAAGCCAACAAGGACAGCGGACCUACUUCCCUGAUCCCCCACAUCAAGCAUAAAUGGACCACGCUGGGGACCAGCUGUAGCUCACCCCAUCAUGACCCUGAGGCUAUGACAGCAUAUAAGUU
rnacentral:lncRNA from 1 species